rnacentral:ncRNA from 1 species
GAUAACAGGCUUAUCUCCCCCAAGAGUCCACAUCGACGGGGAGGUUUGGCACCUCGAUGUCGGCUCGUCGCAUCCUGGGGCUGUAGUCGGUCCCAAGGGUUGGGCUGUUCGCCCAUUAAAGCGGCACGCGAGCUGGGUUCAGAACGUCGUGAGACAGUUC